UACGGAGGGGACUAGCGUUGUUCGGAAUUACUGGGCGUAAAGCGCACGUAGGCGGAUCUUUAAGUCGGGGGUGAAAUCCUGGAGCUCAACUCCAGAACUGCCUUCGAUACUGAGGAUCUUGAGUUCGGGAGAGGUGAGUGGAACUGCGAGUGUAGAGGUGAAAUUCGUAGAUAUUCGCAAGAACACCAGUGGCGAAGGCGGCUCACUGGCCCGAUACUGACGCUGAGGUGCGAAAGCGUGGGGAGCAAACAGG
rnacentral:rRNA from 1 species